UUUUGGCGGGGAUUCAACUUCAAUUAGGAGCUGUUCUCCGGUUCAACCGCUGCCGGCCGGCGAGAAUUAUGGUUUUGCUGUAGGUGGAUAUGAAGUUUUAGGAAGGAAAAGAGAACGAGAAAUGGAAGGAUUGGUGGUUCGCUCGCCGUUCGUUUCAACAGGGAAGAAGCUUCCCUUCUCGCCUUUGCUCGAUUCUUUGCCGAGUUGUUCUGCUUCUGGCAGUGUAAUUGCUAAGACCGUACUGAAAUCGCUGAAAUGUAGAAGAGUUACGAGAUUGAACGGGACGCAUGGAUAAAUCAGAGCACAUUCGUCGAAUGUAAGUAUUGGAUCCAAUGGAUACAGGCACGGGGACACCAUGUUAUUUCCAGUAGUGCACCUGUUGAUACCAGUUCAUCUAAAACUGAGAAGUCUCCAAAUGGAUUGCCUUAUCCUCUUUCUAUUGCGCUAGUAAUAAUUGGGUGCAGUUUAGUAUUCCCUUUUAAAUUUUAUCAUCAAAUCCAACUAAGUUCAUUCAUUGUAUGAUUACAAAAGAAUUACAACUGAGAAAUAUAUAAAUUUCAUAAAACUAGAUU